CCUACGGGAGGCAGCAGUGGGGGAUAUUGCUCAAUGGAGGAAACCCUGAAGCAGCGACGCCGCGUGAGGGAUGAAGGUUUUCGGUUUGUAAACUCCUUUUUUUGGGGAAGAUAAUGACGGUAUCUAACGAGUAAGCACCGGCUAACUCCGUGCCAGCAGCCGCGGUAAUACGGAGGGUGCGAGCGUUGCCCGGAAUCACUGGGCGGAAAGAGCGCGUAGGCGGGAGAGCAAGUCUGAUGUGAAAUCCAAUGGCUUAACCAUAAAGCUGCAUUUGAAACUGUUAUUCUUGAGUAUGGUAGAGGCAGGCGGAAUUCUUGGUGUAGGGGUAAAAUGCGUAGAGAUUAAGAGGAACACCAAUGGCGAAGGCGACCUGCUAGAACAUAACUGACGCUGAGGCGCGAAAGCGUGGGGAGCAAACAGGAUUAGAUACCCUUGUAGUC
rnacentral:rRNA from 1 species